AACGAACGCUGGCGGCAGGCUUAACACAUGCAAGUCGAACGCCCCGCAAGGGGAGUGGCAGACGGGUGAGUAACACGUGGGGAUCUGCCCAAUGGUACGGAAUAAUUCCGGGAAACUGGGACUAAUACCGUAUGUGCCCGCAAGGGGAAAGAUUUAUCGCCAUUGGAUGAACCCGCGUCGGAUUAGCUAGUUGGUGAGGUAAAGGCUCACCAAGGCGACGAUCCGUAGCUGGUCUGAGAGGAUGAUCAGCCACACUGGGACUGAGACACGGCCCAGACUCCUACGGGAGGCAGCAGUGGGGAAUAUUGGACAAUGGGCGCAAGCCUGAUCCAGCCAUGCCGCGUGAGUGAUGAAGGCCUUAGGGUUGUAAAGCUCUUUCGCCGACGAAGAUAAUGACGGUAGUCGGAGAAGAAGCCCCGGCUAACUUCGUGCCAGCCGCCGCAGUAAAAC
rnacentral:rRNA from 1 species